rnacentral:tRNA from 1 species
UGCGGGGUAGAGUAAUGGUUAUCUCAUUAGGCUCAUAACCUAAAGAUUAAGGGUUCAAGUCCCUUUCCCGCCU